GUGUAAUGAAGACCAGUAAACUGAGAGGUGUUUGAACAGCCUGCCCUUCAGCAUCCAGAAGUAAAACUGAAACCAAGGACUCCCUUCUGUGAAGGAAGCUUCUUGUAUUGCAAGACAGAUGAAAGAGAUAGUGUGACAGAUACCCAGAAUAAACUACUUAUGGCACUGCAUCAGGAGAAAACAACCACAAUGGCAGUCUUCCAAAUGUCCAAGAGGUUUGCAAGGCUAUAUUAACAAGGACAAUCACAUGAGCUGAUCUAUGACUCACCAGUUAUUAAUACCAUAUUUAGUGAAGAUGACCAGAAAGCUAGUGGAGGAAUACAGACUUCUUUGUUUGAAGAAAUAAA
rnacentral:lncRNA from 1 species